rnacentral:rRNA from 1 species
UACGAGAGGUGCAAGCGUUGUUCGGAAUUACUGGGCGUAAAGCGCACGUAGGCGGCCCAUCAAGUCAGAGGUGAAAGCCCGGAGCUCAACUCCGGAAUUGCCUUUGAAACUAGUAGGCUUGAACGUCGGAGAGGUGAGUGGAAUUCCGAGUGUAGAGGUGAAAUUCGUAGAUAUUCGGAAGAACACCAGUGGCGAAGGCGGCUCACUGGGCCAUAACUGACGCUGAUGCACGAAAAGCUAGGGGGAGCAAACAGG